UCGGGAUUUCAGCCUCCCGACUCUUCACGAGAAUAGACGGUGUCCCGUCCAAGCGCUG
rnacentral:ncRNA from 1 species